GACGGGACAAAAUGACACAUUUUGUAUGGAUUAUACAGGAAAAAACAACAUUUUGUGAUUAGAAACUAAACAAAAUGAUAGAAUUGUUAAAUACUUCAGGAAAAGAUAGCUUUCAGACACUGCUUUGAGAAUAUCAAAAGAAAAGAUAGGGUCACCGUACGUUUUUUCCGUCUAAAAUACAAAAUAGGAAAAUUCCAUACAGAAUCCUUCAGAAAAUGCACUUUUUCAGAGUUACCUCCCCUUAAAAUGCCAAUUUAAAAAAAAAAAAUGAAAACAACCAAAAAUAAUUAACAUUUGCAAAAAUAUCAAUAUUUAGAAGUUAUAUUCUUAUAAAUUGGUACUUUUAAAUGAAAAUGUACAUUAAACAUCUGCAUUCCUGCAUCAAAUUUUGCUAACUUGAUGGAAAAUCUGGACCUUUGAUUCUCUGUUUUUUACAAUCCAAGAUGGAGGAAGACACCCAUACCACCUUAAA
rnacentral:lncRNA from 1 species